CCUGUUGCAUCCAGCAGAAAAGCCAACGGGACAGAAAGUCCUCAGGGAAAAGAUGUGGUGGAUACUGUCAUCAAUAUCAAGGCAGGCAAAGAAACAUCCUGGAUUGAUUCCAUUAAUUGGAUUUACUGGACUGGGAAUUACCAACGCAGCUCUCUACCUGGUAAAGCUUACCCUAUUCAACCCAGAUAUAAGUUGGGUGAAGAAGAAGGAACCAGAGCCUUGGUAUAAAUUAGAUUGAGAGCUCUGGAGAGGAGGCAAAGGCCGUAAGAUGUUUCAAUAAUGGAACAGGAUCUGAAACCACCCCUCUAGGAAGUCAUUGGAUCCUGCCUGACAUAACUACAGGAACAUAUUACUUCAUGUUACGCAAACAUAUUUGAAGAUAAAGUUCCUGCCUUUUUAACACUCUUUUCUGCCAUAGUGACAGUUUAUUUAAAUGACAGGAGGAUGCUGGGAAUUAGCUCUGUGGCAGCUUGAGCUCUAUAGAUUGCUUACCCUUGUAUUAAACUACAAUUGGCAGCAUGCUAUAGAAUAAAGGUAUUACUGAACUUUUGCUCUGAAUGUACCCAGACACUCAUUGUAAGCAUUUUAAGCAGUUAGCAGGUUGUGUAGGAAAGUAAAUGUUUAGCUUAACUAUAGUGAUUAGGUAUUUUACAGAUUCGUAGUAGAACAAUUGAUCAAUGAUGUAAAAUAGCCAAGUGCCAAGUGUACCGCUCCAGAUGUAGUUGUACUACCCCCUGCACAUCCUUGGGAUCUCAGUGUGGGUCACUGACAUCUAGGGGCCACAGGAUGAUGUUCUAGAUGUUAAGUGUGGUUUUGCAUCUGGUUAAUAUAAAGGAAACAUAUGUUUUGAAGAAAAUAAUGUGUGCUGUGUAGGUACUGUAUAUAAAUGAAAGGAAAAAUAUUACCAAAAUAUUAGGCUUAAUGAUGCUUAUUAUAUCAACACUGAGUCAGCACUAACAUGAGAUGUUUGUUAGUUCACCUGGAAAUAAAGGAAUAUAUACCAAAGUACAGUAUAAAUCAUAGAUAAAUAAUAAUUUACCCUCUAAAAAAGGUAUUCUAAAUAUUUCUAGUCAUAGCUAAUUAUAUUCAAAGCUUAGACCUGAAGAUGGCUAAAGCUGCCCAUACACAUAACAACAAAGUACAGGUAUAGAACCUGUUAUCCGCAAAUGCAUUAUCCAGGAA